UGGGGAAUUUUGGACAAUGGGCGAAAGCCUGAUCCAGCAAUGCCGCGUGUGUGAAGAAGGCCUUCGGGUUGUAAAGCACUUUUGUCCGGAAAGAAAUGGCUCUGGUUAAUACCUGGGGUCGAUGACGGUACCGGAAGAAUAUGGACCGGCUAACUACGUGCCAGCAGCCGCGGUAAUACGUAGGGUCCAAGCGUUAAUCGGAAUUACUGGGCGUAAAGCGUGCGCAGGCGGUUGUGCAAGACCGAUGUGAAAUCCCCGAGCUUAACUUGGGAAUUGCAUUGGUGACUGCACGGCUAGAGUGUGUAAGAGGGGGGUAGAAUUCCACGUGUAGCAGUGAAAUGCGUAGAGAUGUGGAGGAAUACCGAUGGCGAAGGCAGCCCCCUGGGAUAACACUGACGCUCAUGCACGAAAGCGUGGGGAGCAAACAGG
rnacentral:rRNA from 1 species